ensembl:lncRNA
AUUGGACUAGAUGAUCGCUAAUAUCAUUUCCAGCUCUACCAUUUUAUUAUCUAAUUUUUAUAUAAUGCCAGUAUAACACGUUUUUGAUUGGCAAAGGUUCAAGAAGUAUUGCUGGCCUUUUACAGAUCUGGAAACUGAGGGCAGUGGGGCAAAGGAUUUGCUUCAGACACAUGUAGGUAAUGGCAGGGCCUGAAUCCUUCCAGAGCUGUCUCAUUAAACAAUAUUUCCUGGCUGCUAUGUGGAACUGCAGUAUCUUUCCCUUCAGAAAGCUGGUCUGGGAGCACCUACGUGGCUUAGUCAGUUGACCAUCUUACUCUUGGUUUCGGCUCAGGUCAUGAUCUCAUGAUUUAUGGGUUUGAGCCCAGCAUUUGGCUCUGCACUGACAAUGUGGAGCCUGCUUGGGAUUCUCUCUCUUUCCCUCUCUCUCUGCCCCUCCCCACUUCUCUCUCUCAAAAUAAAUAGACUUAAAAAAAUCAUAAAAAAAAAAAAGAAAAGCUGGUCUGUUUUUUCCCACCAGGCCUAAAGAAAAAAAAAAAAGAAAAACAAGGGUCAGAGUAUUAAUAUGAAAAAUAUCAGCGCACACUGAUUCCACUCCCACAGACUAGGCUUGAAUCUCACAAUACUGAAAGACAUUUCAGACGGCCAGGGGCAUGUAAGAAGGAGGCUGGAGGAGAAGGGGAACAGAUCUGAGCUGCUGGGACACCUUUCGGUGUUGGUGGACUAGAAUGGGGGCGGUGCACUGAUCCCAAGGGCACAACGACAAGGUCAGCCUCACCUCUUCUCUCUGUUCUUGGCAAUAGGCAGUCUAGCUAGAGAGAGCAAUCUGUCAAGUCUAAUUAGAGUAGAACAAGUGAACAAUGGGCGCCCAGCUCUGCAAUGACAGCCCAGUUUAAUGGGGUGGAGGGGCUAGGGAGGGACGUGGGCUUUGUGUGCUCGGAACUGGUUCCUCCAAGUGGAUCCUUUCCGAACUCAAACUGCAAAACAACUUCAACUGGAUCCUUCUUUACUUCGACAGAAAUCUUCAGGUCCCUGCGCUUUUUAACACAGGCACAUGCAGCAAAAGUAGAGAACCUGGCUCUGUUUCAAAGACUCUUCUCCGGGGUAGAGAGCAGCUCACGAAAAUUCAGCCGCGGCUCCAUCUGCUGGACGCGCCGCGCCGCUGCAAGGCCGUGCCCGGGAAGGAGAGGCGUCGGCUGCGGGUGAAGAAGGCCCGGCCUUUUCCCCAGGAAAAGCUCUGGCACCAAGGUAGCAUUCACAUGCAGGUCUGCUUAUCCAAAAAGAGACUAAACUGAUCCUCUGCAAGAAAAUGGGCACAGCUUUGAGGAGCCCUCAGGCCUAAAUGGACUGGCAUAUCUUAUAUGGGUGUUCUCUUAGGAAAACCUGGGACUGGGGGGGGGGGGAGGAAGAGAGGGCGUAAUUCAUUUCAUUCCACCUGCACGUCUCUCAGGUGCAGGGCUGAAAACUAAAACUAUUUUUCAUCAAGGCACACAGGGAAGCAUGGGGGACAGAAGUCAAAAUGUAUUUGUUCUCCUGAUUGGAACUGAUUUUGCCGAAUGGAAGGAAUUUCAGAGGUGAAGAGGGUGACAGAAAUAAAAUUAAUCUGGGAAUGGGGACAUGUUAAAAUGUAGCCUUGGCUGUGGUUUGAUUAAGGUCACUAAGCCCUGUACCAUUUUCCAAACUCUUGAGUCAGUUCUGAUUUACUUGAAGAUUUUUCUAUUUAGGAGACUUCAGGCCCUUUUCACACAAAGGUCUAAACCCAUUUGCAAAUGCAUUUAUACACAUACUUCACGCAGACCUGCUUUCACUAUGGUUGCGAACUUUGUUGAAGGCCAUAAUCAGAAAAUGCUUGGGGAAUUGACAGGAAGCAGAGUUUUAGAGCAGAACUGCAGUUGGCCCGCCCAUCUGAAAAAAUAUCCUACCACUGAUAGGAAACAUUUCUAAUGGAACAGUGUUAGCAGACAUAGUUCUGACCCUCCAGCACUUGAUAAUAACUUUCUAGCACAAAUGAAUUUUUGUUUUCUGGGGUGAGUUUAUAAUGAUUUUCCUGAAAGAUGAAAUAGCUUUACCAACAAUAUAGUCUAUAGGAACACAACUAGUCAUUAGUCCUCUAGGUCCAUGUCAUGUGACUUCCACAUAAGGUCACUGUUUUAGAAUGACAUCCUUUGGUGCUUCAAUAACGAAUCCCUCAUGGAUGAGACUUACCUGAUUCUACUGCUAUAGUGAAUAGUUUCAUAGAGCCUCCACGUGGGCACUUGAAGAAGAUACACUGUAAGGAUGCAGGUCUGAUUCAGGUGUCCCCUCUGACCUUGAAGGCCAGCUAACACCAUUAACAUUUCUGGGGGCAGGCCUAAAGAUGGAGGUUAAGACUAGUCACGCCCUACCUGAGGGUUCUGGAUCCACUCUGUAAUUGGUUAAAGUUACUGUCAAUGAUGUGAUGCUAUAUUGAUUGGACCCCUGUACCUGUGUCACAAUUUCCUGUAACUCCCCCUUCCCAAACUCAUAAAAGGCCCUGCCCCCCCAUGUUCGGGGAUCGCUCCACGUUAUCCACUGCCUCAGUGGGGUUCUCGAGCCCGUGCUUAUAUGCCCGUAGUAAUAAAGCCCUUUGCUUUUUGCAUGCGUGAUUCGGUCUCCCAGGUCAUCUCUGGUUU